GGCCAGUGGGGCGGGGGGGUCUUUUGUUUAAUUCUUUCCAAAUUAAUGUGAAGAUAAUGUUUGAUAGAAUCUUAUUGGGAAGACAAAGUGUGUGAAUCACAUUCAGCAGAGUGGGAGAAAAGGUGAAGAAAUUUAAGAGAGGAUUUUGAAGGAUGAAUGAUAGCUCAGCUAGAGGAAUGAAUGAGAGACAACCUCAAAGGCCUUGUGGUUGUGUGGGCAUUUUCUUUCAGCUCUUUGAUCAGAACCGUAGAUUUGACAAGAAACUGUUUCCAAAGAAACUGCUUUCACCAGUUAGCUACUACUACAUUCCACUUAUUUUUAAAGCAGAAUGGUUAAUUUCUUGAAGGUGAUUCUAGAUAGAGGGCUAAAUUAUUUCAUUUUUUGUGCUGCAUUCUUAUAGCUUGAUUGAAACAACCUUCAAAAAAGUUUGGAGGGGAUGAGAAGCAGCCAAAGCUUCGUUUGAUUGCUGAUGAGAACAGUGGGGGUUUUCCGAAUGCAAAGAAUAAUGGAAUGAUCGAUACACGUUGUGAAAGCAAGCGCGAAAUGAAAGCUCCAAGUUUGGUUGCUAGGCUCAUGGGUUUGGAAUCGAUGCCAGCAGGAUCAGGCAGUAAGCCCCAAAAGGCUUCAGCUUCUGAAACUUGGAGCAAUGUGGCAGACAAACUUGGGGCUCGACCUGGCGGAUCUGAUAAAGAAGAUAUGGAUUUUGAGAUGGCUGAAAUAAAUAGUUAAGAACCAGGUUUGCAAAGGUUUAGAGCUAAAUGUGUUCUCACUUAUCCUACUAGAUAUUUUUCUCCUUCGGAAGAUGAAGCAGAUUUAGUUGGGAAUUCACUUGAUCACUAUUCUACUGACAGCUACCUCUCCAGCAGUCCCAAUAGUAGCUCAAAGGACAAAGUGCUUGCUGAAUCAGUGGACUCUGUUGAUGAUGAACCACUCUUUCCAGAACCUGAUAGAGAUCUUUCGGAUUGUGAGACCUCAUUAUCCACCUGGAGGAGUGCUUAGCAAGAUUGAUCAGUUAAAAGGAAGCAAACUCAGCUAUGUAAAAUAGGUCAUUUUGAAUGCUGAACUCAUAUUUGGAACUACACCUCAACAGCAGGCUCUACCUGUAGAGGAUGGGUUCUCUGUGAGCCAUUUUCUCCUCAAUCAACAUGAAAUAUUUUCGAGUUUUUUGUGGAUGGCUUUCGAUGAGUUGCUUGGCUGUAAUGACCCAAAACAGAUGAAUCAGCUUAAAGGAUUCGCCUUUGAUUGUCUAUUAGAGUACCUAGACUUAAAAUUUUCUCCAAUAUCUGAUUCUGUUUUCAGAACCUGUACCAAACUACCAUCAAGUAUGACCAAAGAGAUUAUUGAUGAGGUCGAAGAGUGGACACAAUUUGUUGGUUUGAUCCCAGACGAGCUAAUAGAAUGGGAUAUGAGCCAUUCUUUGGGUAAAUGUAUGGACUUUGAGAUUGAAGAAUAUGAAUGUGGCACUGAAGUUGCUAGGCAUAUUCUCUAAGAAUUAGUAGAUGAAUUUGUUUUAGACCUUUACAGUUCUAGCUAAAUUUGGUGGAACUGUUAGUAGCUCCUCUUUUUGAGACUUUGUUGCAAGCCUAUCAGUGCUGUUCUCAUGUGAUAACUCUUGACUCAAUAAUUUCAAGCAAAGUAUUUUAUACAAAUCAUUGAUUCUG